rnacentral:lncRNA from 1 species
CCAGGAAGUCGAUGCAUAAGAGGGCGCCGGUCGCCUCCUGAAUCGUUAUGAAAGUCUUGUAGCUCUUAAGAUGGUCGAUUGGGUCGGUGGAUCUGUCGUAUGGCUCCACUUAAGGCAUCUUGAACCGAGAUGGGAUCGGUUGGUCCAAGAUGUGUCGAGAAAGUGACUGGGUGGUAUAAAAGUCGUAGUCAUUGGAGGACUUCCGACCUUCCACUUAAAGCUGAGC